AAUAACACAAAAUAAAUAAAAUAAAAAUAAUAAGGCGGUGAGAUUAAUAUGGCAGAGAGAUAAAAUUAAAAUUAAAAAAAACACACCUCCCACCAUGCGACACAUGGCAUACAUGAAGAGGGUUUAAAAAAAAAUUAUUUUCCUAUUCUCCUUCCCCUUUAUCGUUAAGCAGCAACAACAACAUAUUCUUUCUUCACUUUUUCUAUUUUUUCUAUUUAAAAAAAAAACAAGAACUUUU
rnacentral:lncRNA from 1 species